UUUUCCCUGCGGUGUUCGCGACGAGGCCUUGAUAUUCCUUAACCGAUGCGCUUUGCGCUAGGGUCGACAACAAGCGUGCUGGCGUGAUCGCCUCUGAGUCCUGUGCUUGCAUGGGGCUCUGCUGAUGAACCCGAGGCAUGAUGAGUCGUCCCGCCCUGAACUCCGGUUCAGGAUAAAAGGUCAUGGCGGCACUCGCGGGGAAGCC
rnacentral:other from 1 species